AACGCUGGCGGCGUGCCUAACACAUGCAAGUCGAACGAAGCAUAGUAAUAUGCUUAGUGGCGGACGGGUGAGUAACGCGUGAACAAUCUGCCCUAUACAAAGGAAUAGCCUCGGGAAACUGGGAUUAAAACCAUAUAACACUUUAGUACCGCAUGGUACAGAAGUCAAAUUGAUUAAGAGGUAUAGGAUGAGUUCGCGUCUGAUUAGCUAGUUGGUAAGGUAACGGCUUACCAAGGCGACGAUCAGUAGCCGGCCUGAGAGGGUGAACGGCCACACUGGAACUGAGACACGGUCCAGACUCCUACGGGAGGCAGCAGUGGGGAAUAUUGCACAAUGGAGGAAACUCUGAUGCAGCGACGCCGCGUGAGUGAAGAAGGUCUUCGGAUCGUAAAACUCUGUCCUUGGUGAAGAUAAUGACGGUAGCCAAGGAGGAAGCCCCGGCUAACUACGUGCCAGCCGCCGC
rnacentral:rRNA from 1 species